CCCCCCCCCCCCACCAAGCUGCCCACCAGAGGCCAAGCUGUACUUGGUGUUUGCCAACAUGCUGUAAUUUCCAGCCUGGUUGCUGUAGCCACAGAGGAAUUUUCAAGGACAAGAACCAGUGCUGGUAAAACUGUGGUCUCUGUGGUUUUCCAUACCGGCUCUCGGCAAGGAUUUUCAAGAAAGGAAUACCAUCUCCAAAUCAUGAUGUGCCAAUAAGCUCCAGUUAGCUGCGGCCUUUUCCCCAGGCGGUAGUCCUGCAAUCUGAAUCCAGGAGAUGCAGCUCUGAAUCCAAUAUUUCAGAAGAAUGAAGAUGAAGCAGACCCAGGAGGAACUGUCUGUUGAAGACCCCCCCCCCCCCCACCAAGCUGCCCACCAGAGGCCAAGCUGUACUUGGUGUUUGCCAACAUGCUGUAAUUUCCAGCCUGGUUGCUGUAGCCACAGAGGAAUUUUCAAGGACAAGAACCAGUGCUGGUAAAACUGUGGUCUCUGUGGUUUUCCAUACCGGCUCUCGGCAAGGAUUUUCAAGAAAGGAAUACCAUCUCCAAAUCAUGAUGUGCCAAUAAGCUCCAGUUAGCUGCGGCCUUUUCCCCAGGCGGUAGUCCUGCAAUCUGAAUCCAGGAGAUGCAGCUCUGAAUCCAAUAUUUCAGAAGAAUGAAGAUGAAGCAGACCCAGGAGGAACUGUCUGUUGAAGACCCCCCCCCCCCCCCCACCAAGCUGCCCACCAGAGGCCAAGCUGUACUUGGUGUUUGCCAACAUGCUGUAAUUUCCAGCCUGGUUGCUGUAGCCACAGAGGAAUUUUCAAGGACAAGAACCAGUGCUGGUAAAACUGUGGUCUCUGUGGUUUUCCAUACCGGCUCUCGGCAAGGAUUUUCAAGAAAGGAAUACCAUCUCCAAAUCAUGAUGUGCCAAUAAGCUCCAGUUAGCUGCGGCCUUUUCCCCAGGCGGUAGUCCUGCAAUCUGAAUCCAGGAGAUGCAGCUCUGAAUCCAAUAUUUCAGAAGAAUGAAGAUGAAGCAGACCCAGGAGGAACUGUCUGUUGAAGACCCCCCCCCCCCACCAAGCUGCCCACCAGAGGCCAAGCUGUACUUGGUGUUUGCCAACAUGCUGUAAUUUCCAGCCUGGUUGCUGUAGCCACAGAGGAAUUUUCAAGGACAAGAACCAGUGCUGGUAAAACUGUGGUCUCUGUGGUUUUCCAUACCGGCUCUCGGCAAGGAUUUUCAAGAAAGGAAUACCAUCUCCAAAUCAUGAUGUGCCAAUAAGCUCCAGUUAGCUGCGGCCUUUUCCCCAGGCGGUAGUCCUGCAAUCUGAAUCCAGGAGAUGCAGCUCUGAAUCCAAUAUUUCAGAAGAAUGAAGAUGAAGCAGACCCAGGAGGAACUGUCUGUUGAAGACCCCCCCCCCCCCCCCACCAAGCUGCCCACCAGAGGCCAAGCUGUACUUGGUGUUUGCCAACAUGCUGUAAUUUCCAGCCUGGUUGCUGUAGCCACAGAGGAAUUUUCAAGGACAAGAACCAGUGCUGGUAAAACUGUGGUCUCUGUGGUUUUCCAUACCGGCUCUCGGCAAGGAUUUUCAAGAAAGGAAUACCAUCUCCAAAUCAUGAUGUGCCAAUAAGCUCCAGUUAGCUGCGGCCUUUUCCCCAGGCGGUAGUCCUGCAAUCUGAAUCCAGGAGAUGCAGCUCUGAAUCCAAUAUUUCAGAAGAAUGAAGAUG